GAUGAACGCUAGCGGCAGGCUUAAUACAUGCAAGUCAAGGGGGUAGCAAUACAACCGGCGCACGGGUGAGUAACACGUACACAACAUACCAUAUACUGAGGUAUAGCUUCGGGAAACUGAAGGUAAUCCCUCAUAGUAUUGUGAAAGGGCAUCUUUUUACAAUUAAAGUUUCGACGGUAUAUGAUUGGUGUGCGUUUGAUUAGCUAGUUGGUAGGGUAACGGCCUACCAAGGCGACGAUCGAUAGCUGGCGUGAGAGCGCGACCAGCCACACUGGAACUGAGACACGGUCCAGACUCCUACGGGAGGCAGCAGUAGGGAAUAUUGGACAAUGGGCGAAAGCCUGAUCCAGCCAUGCCGCGUGAUAGAUGAAGGCCCUCUGGGUUGUAAAUAUCUUUUAUCUGGGAAGAAACUCCUCUAUUCUUAGAGGCCUGACGGUACCAGAGGAAUAAGCACCGGCUAACUCCGUGCCAGCAGCCGCGGUAAUG
rnacentral:rRNA from 1 species